CAAUAUUUUUUAUGCCCCCGCCAUGUAAUGGCCGGGGCAUAUAGUGUUACCCUGUUCCGUCCUUCCGUCCUUCCGUCAUUCCGUCCUUCCGUCAUUCCGUCAUUCCGUCAUUCUGUCAUUCCGUCAUCAUCAGUUUCCGUUCAUUAUCUUAGUAACGGUUGCACACAUUCAACUCAAAUUUGACAUAUGGAUAUGUCAUGAGAAAAUACAGGUCAAGUUCGAAUUUGGUCAUGGUUCGAUGAUUUUUGGCAGAGUUAUGCCCCUUUUACUUUAAAAUAAUAUGAAAUUUUCAGUUUCCGUUCAUUAUCUCCCCAACGAUACAACACAUUCAACUCAAACUUGACAUAUGGAUAUGUCAUGAGAAAAUACAGGUCAAGUUCAAAUUUGGUCAUGGUUCGAUGAUUUUUGGCAGAGUUAUGCCCCUUUUACUUUGAAAAUAAUAUGAAAUUUUCAGUUUCCGUUCAUUAUCUCCCCAAAGGUACAACACAUUCAACUCAAAUUUGACAUAUGGAUAUGUCUUGAGAAAAUACAGGUCAAGUUCGAAUUUGGUCGUGGUUCAAUGAUUUUUGGCAGAGUUAUGCCCCUUUCACUUUGAAAAUAAUAUGAAAUUUUCAGUUUCUGUUUAUUAUCUCCCCAACAGUACAACACAUUCAACUCAAAUUAGACAUAUGGAUAUGUUUUUGGAAUGCCCAGGCCAAGUUAGAAUUUGGUCAUGGUUCAAUGAUUUUUGGCAGAGUAAUGCCCCUUUUACUUUGAAAAUAAUAUGAAAUUUACAGUUUCUGUUCAUUAUCUACCCAACAGUGUUACAUAUUCAACUCAAAUUUGACAUAUGGAUAUGUCAAAGGAAUGGGCAGGUCAAGUUGGAAUUUGGUCAUGGUUCGAUGAUUUUUUGGCAGAGUUAUGUCCCUUUCACUUUGAAAAUAAUAUAGAUACAUCUUAGGAAUAAGCAGUUUAAGUUUGAAUUUGGUCGUGGUUCAAUGAUUUUGGACAAACUUAUCUUUCUUGAAUGUUUGAAAAAUUUUGAACUUUCAGUUUCAGCACUCAUACUUUUGUGGAAAGUUUGAAUUUGGUCGUGGUUCAAUGAUUUUGGACAAACUUAUCUUUCUUGAAUGUUGGAAAAUUUUUGAACUUUCAGUUUCAGCACUCAUACUUUUGUGGAAAUGUAUGUAGCCAUUAUUUUGGCUACAAAUAUGAAAUAUGCUAUUUUCAAAAGGUUAAGACUGAAUAAUUUCAGUGCUUUGAACAUUGUAUGAAAAUGGUUUGUGUUAACAUUGAAAAGUUUUAAGGGCUUUGAACUGCAAAUGAAAAAAAUAAUUUGUGCAAACAAAUUUGGAACUAAAUAUUAUAACAUAUGAAAUUUUGGCUGCAUGCGGGGGCAUCCGUGGCAUGAUGACACAUUUCUAGUUUUUUAAAUAGCCACUGUGUCAUUUUAGUGUGAUCGUAAGAGAUGACUAAACUGGUUCAAAUGACUGGAGUCUAUGCAUCACUUAGCUCCAGCAGGUGAGGUGGUUUUGACCCCUGUUGUUACUUUUAAGUUUGUUACACCCAAGGUGAGCCAAAAUCAUCUCUUUUAGCACCAUAUGACCUAAAUGGUGUUGUUGCACCAUAAAACCAAACAAACAAAAGCUUUGUCGAAAUGUCUCUUGUGCAUGAAAUGAUGGUACCACUUUUAAGUCAUUCUUGAUCACUAGAUGUAACAAUCUUAGUAUGAAAGGAAUCCAGAAUCAUUCAACAGUUCAGAUGUUUUUUGUUAAAUUGUCUCAUGGUUUAAAUAAGACCCAAGUUUUCUCAUGGUUAGAAUUAGACCAAGUUUUCUCAUGGUUAGAAUUAGACCAAACAAAUUAUGGUACUUUAUACAUGUUUAUAUGAGAAAUUUAGCAUAGGGUAAAUAAAUUCACUGUUAUAUUAUUUAUUUCUGUUAUAUAAGUUUUAUUUUCUUUAUUACAUAUAGCUUUAAAUAAACUCCCAUUAAUAAAGGCAGCAUGUAGUUUUAAGUCAUUUAGAAUUAGGUUAAAUUUUGUUACAGUGACGGUCAUCAAUAGAGCACCAUAAUGAUUUACUUCAUGGGGCAACUGUAGUGCAUAUUAUAAAAUUAUUUCAGUAGUGAUGUCCCUAUUCAACUUUUCAUUAGUGUCGUGUGAUUGUUGAGGGGUGGGACGACAGUUUAAUCAAUCCAUGACUGUAAGGGCCAUACUCAGCUUUGGUAAAGACAAUCUUUCCUUUUUGUCAUUAAGAAAUUUAAAUGAGUAUCUUUUAUAUAGCUACUUAGGGACAUAAAACAAUUAACAUUUUUCAUAGACAUAAAUACAUAGAAAUUAAAGUAAGAUUAUAUCUCAAUCGGAAUAUGUUCUACCUCUAUCAUUCAGGAAUGUUCAGAAUUGGGAUGCUUGUUUUUCUUCUGAAACUUGUUAACUUUUUAUGUCAAAAACUUGAAAUAUUUUACUGUAAAGCAACAGAGUGAGAAUUUGGUAUUGGAAAGUUAGUGUUUUUUACUCUUUUUUUAUUUUGGCAAUAAGUAUUAACUUUCUUAACAGUUCACACUAUUCAAACCUUAUGCCGAGAUGUAGAAUAUAUAUUCUGAUACAUUAAAAGCAUGUUAACAUCCUUCAUUGAUCAUGACGAGGGAAAAUCUCAGUUAUACAUAUAGGUGUGUCACUCAAAUAUUGAUUUGAAACAUAUAUGUCCAUACAGUAUGUAAGGUUAUGACAUGACAAAUCUUGUUCAAGUAUUUUUAUGUUUUCUUAUACAAUAUCAUGAAAACUGUCUAUUCUGUGCAUGUGUUAUAUAUUUAUAGUUUAUUCAAUAUUCAGUUAUAUUUUCUAAAUCUGCUUUCUCUGUAUUGAAUGUCAUUUUCGUUCCAUACUAUAUAUAAACAGUUACAUGUAUGAUGUGACACUUGAGCAUUUUUAUUCGAAUUUAAUAGCUACAAUGCCUGAAAUUAUUGUCAGACUGAGACCCUAAAACUUCAAAUUGCAUCUGCAAAGAUCCACUUAGUAUUGUUUUAUUUUAUGUCACUUAUUAUUCUCCAUGACUUUGAACUUUUUGUGAUAAAAUCACAAUAUUUUUUCUCUGAUUUGGCAUUUUGAUUGUAUGAAUAUAAAUAAGUAAAAGAAUUUUACCUUUAUCCUUUUAACAAUUGAUCUGAUGAAUUUUGAAGUAAUUGGCCUUAAGCCACCAGUAAAGUUCCAGGCCAGGGCCUGUACUCAAUUUUUGCAUUUUUGAUUUUGAAAACCCUAAAUUUUGAAUAGACUGUUUCAAAUUCAAACCUUGGCAAAUUUAUUACACAAUUUCAGAAGGUCAAUGGUUAAAGUAUUUUCCGGUGUGGGCAUAUAUUUUUCUCUGGUUCAGUCUUGUACAGUCUACAAAUGUAGUUGUAGUUGUUGUUUGAAAUUAUAUAUAAUCCUGUGGAAUGAUUGGUUUAAAAGAGGCAGUUAUUACAAACAUAUAUUUUCUUAUAUAUAGAUAGUUACAGUUUUCUCCAAUAGAUAUUAUCCGGAACUCAGCAAAAGUGGGUUUCUCCAAGCUAAUCCCAGGGUACAAACAAAUUUUUACCGUUUUAGCUUCACUGUGCAAUGCCAGUCACAGUAGUUUAGUCAACCUGUUGCGCUUAUUUUCGAAGCUGUAGCUGUAAAAGCUAGUUUGUACCCCCAGGUUAGCUUGGGGAAAACCCAAAAUGUUCUGAAUUCCAGAGUUAGUCUAUUAGAAACUAAGAAUAGGCAUAGAUUCUAAUCAUUAGCAAAUUUUUGAAUUGAAAAAUUAAUUUUUGGUGUAAUCACUAUGCUCAUAGCAAUGUUAGUACAUGCUUAAUGUAGCUGUUGAUCAUUGAAAAUAAUUCACAAAGUUGAUGAUUUUUAAUUUUUAAUUCAGUUUGAUUUUUGGGGAAGAUAUGGCAAUUUUAAAACAAUCGUGAUUUUAAUACAGUAACACAUGUAAAUGUUGAUUGUAAUAAUAAAUGAUAGCUUCACAUAG